UACAGAGGGUGCGAGCGUUGAUCGGAAUUACUGGGCGUAAAGCGCACGUAGGUGGCGACGUAAGUCGGGUGUGAAAUCCCCGGGCUCAACUUGGGAAUUGCAUUCGAGACUGGAUUGCUGGAGGACGGGAGAGGAGGGCGGAAUUCCCGGUGUAGCGGUGAAAUGCGUAGAUAUCGGGAGGAACAUCAGUGGCGAAGGCGGCCCUCUGGACCAGUACUGACACUCAAGUGCCAAAGCGUGGGGAGCAAACAGG
rnacentral:rRNA from 1 species